GACGAACGCUGGCGGCGUGCUUAACACAUGCAAGUCGAACGGAAAGGCCCCUUUGGGGGUACUCGAGUGGCGAACGGGUGAGUAACACGUGAGUAACCUGCCCUUGACUUCGGGAUAACUUCAGGAAACUGGGGCUAAUACCGGAUAGGAAUACUUGCUGCAUGGUGGGGGUUGGAAAGCUUCGGCGGUUUUGGAUGGACUCGCGGCUUAUCAGCUUGUUGGUGGGGUAGUGGCUUACCAAGGCUUUGACGGGUAGCCGGCCUGAGAGGGCGACCGGCCACAUUGGGACUGAGAUACGGCCCAGACUCCUACGGGAGGCAGCAGUGGGGAAUAUUGCACAAUGGGCGGAAGCCUGAUGCAGCAACGCCGCGUGCGGGAUGACGGCCUUCGGGUUGUAAACCGCUUUCAGCAGGGGCGAAGCUUUUGUGACGGUACCUGCAGAAGAAGCACCGGCUAACUACGUG
rnacentral:rRNA from 1 species